CGGGGUGUAGCGCAGUCCGGUAGCGUACUUGCAUGGGGUGCAAGGGGUCGUGGGUUCAAAUCCCGCCACCCCGA
rnacentral:tRNA from 2 species